AUGAAAGAGUAGCACCACUCUUAGAUUUGGGGAGGAUAAAGAAGACCUCACACAAAGCUUAUACUGAAAAGGACCCAAUUGUGUUGUUCAGCUGCACACAUAUCUCUCCAUACUGCUAAGAAGGAGUGAGGAGGUGAGAUCAACAAGAAGCUACGCUUGCCUUCUAGACUGUGUUUCAGAUACCUAGAACCCUGGAAUUCCCAGGAGCUUCAGCCUGCUGCCAGGGUAUCAACUGUACGUAGGUCCAAGGUGUAGACACAGGUCAGAUGUUAACAUAUCUGUAUUCUACAAGUGUCUUGAAUCCUUCAUCACUAGUGGUUUCACCUAUUUGAUGAUGAAACAAAGUGCUCUGCAUGAAGAAAUCUGUUCCAUCCCUACCUGAACUCCAAGAGAGCAUCAACAUGAAGUUCCAUCUCCUUCUUAGCUAUCCGAAGAUGAAUGGGUUUCUUUACCUUCAAAUAUAAGCAACUUUCCUAAAAAUAUUCUGCUAUGAGAAACAGUAGAAGAUAAAGAACACUUCUUUGCUUUCUGGAUGUGCUGUUCUGUGAGUGUCUUCAGAACCUGUGUUGGAAAUAUGGUGAGCGUUGCUGACAAGUGCCAUCCAAGGGAAAGCCAAGCUCUUGAAAAAUAUGGUUUAUCCACUUCCUCUUGAUUUGCGGAAUCUCUUGCCCUGCAACCCUGUAACUUCCCUGGCUCUUUUCCAAAGUCGGAAUGACCUUGACAGGUACUCAGGACACUGAAGCAGCCACGACAGUGCAACUGACGACCCUCACGAAAGAGGACUUCCAGAGCUGCUCCAGAAAGCGGCCAGAACAAUGGGAUGAAUGUGUUCAAAGACAGAAUGCUUUGGACCCUAAAAACUAGAUCCAUUUCCCAGUCUAAAAACACAGCCACCAGCCCACAUGCAGAAGCAGACAGCUAGUAAGUAAUGCAGCCCUACAAGAUGGAAAACUUUUACCAUUAUGGUGUGAUUUUUGUGACUUUUUCAUGACUUGACGGCACAGUGCCGGUGUGCAGACCAGACAGGCAACAACAGAAUGCUGUGUAGGGCAGGCUGCAGGCAGAGUGAACCCCUCCCCUCACCCCGACCGACAGAAAUCCAAAUGUAUCCAUGUUUAUGCCUCUUGGCAACUAAAACGCAGUGACAAUCAGCAGAACCGCAUUUCAACCACCUACACGUGUGCGCCUGUGAAGUCAGGUCUUUAUUGUCAUUAAGCACACAUAAUUUCUCGUU